rnacentral:lncRNA from 1 species
GGGGCGGGGAGGCCUGUUGUAAACAGGGAAUCCAUUGGAGUAAUGGGAGUUGGAAGUAUGGUGGCUUCUCAUUGGCUGGGCUGUGACCGUCUCUCAUUGGCUGGGCUGUGGCCGUCUCUCAUUGGCUGGGCUGUGGCCGUCUCUCAUUGGCUGGGCUGUGACCGUCUCUCAUUGGCUGGGCUGUGGCCGUCUCUCAUUGGCUGAGCCGUUGCCAGGGGCCAGAGGAAACCCUCCUCCCGCUGGGGGGCAUCCACCUACAAGGUACUCUCUCUCCUCCGGCUGGGUCUGCAGUGAGCGUCCGGCCCCCACCCACCACCCCCCACCAGACUGCAUUCUGGCCGCGGUUUCCCUUUAUUAGUGUUUACAGUGAGUGGGAGUGUGCAAGCACGGAUGGAGGCUCUGUGGCCCCUGCCUCUCCAGAGGGACAGGGACGGGAAACGGGAAGGAGACACCACUUGUGGGAAGGCUUGGGACACGUGGGAAACCCCGGCCGUAAAUCAGCCUUCGUCCCCACUGGCAUCCUUUUCCCACUCCUGGACGCCUCACCUUAUUCACGUCCGACUCAAGGUCACCGGAGACUAAAGAGCUGGGCUGCAAGGAGAGCUCAGGCUCGGUCCAUCCCUCCUCACUAGCCAGGCAGGCGCAUGUGCACACGUGCACACACAGAACCCCGGGCCCGCCCCCUGCCCCUUGCCACUGCCCAUUGGAUGGAGCCCUUGGGGGAAGUUCCUGGACAUCGGGACGAAGCAGAGCAGAAAUGAAAUAACCACCAGAUUUGCAGCAUGUUACCUGUUUUUAUUAAAAAUCAAUGACACGAUA